rnacentral:rRNA from 1 species
AGUUUCGAAUCAUUCACAAUGGGCGAAAGCCUGAUGGUGCGACGCCGCGUGAGGGACGUAGGCCUUCGGGUUGUAAACCUCUGUCACCGGGGAAGAAACGUCAUCCGUUAAUAGCGGAUGGCCUGACUUAACCCGGAGAGGAAGCAGUGGCUAACUCUGUGCCAGCAGCCGCGGUAAUACAGAGACUGCAAGCGUUAUUCGGAUUCACUGGGCGUAAAGGGUGCGCAGGCGGCCAUGUGUGUCUGGUGUGAAAUCCCGGGGCUUAACUCCGGAAUUGCGCCGGAAACUACAUGGCUAGAGCAUUGGAGAGGGUAGCGGAAUUCACGGUGUAGCAGUGAAAUGCGUAGAUAUCGUGAGGAACACCAGAGGCGAAGGCGGCUACCUGGACAAUUGCUGACGCUCAGGCACGAAAGCGUGGGGAGCGAAAGGGAUUAGAUACCCCUGUAGUCCACGCCCUAAACGGUGCACACUAGGUCUUGGAGGAUUCGACCCCUUCAGGGCCCAAGCUAACGCGUUAAGUGUGCCGCCUGAGGACUACGGCCGCAAGGCUAAAACUCAAAGGAAUUGACGGGGGCCCGCACAAGCGGUGGAGCAUGUGGCUUAAUUCGAUGCAACGCGAAGAACCUUACCUGGCCUUGACAUGCACCAGACCGACGCUGAAAGGCGUCUUCCCUUCGGGGCUGGUGCACAGGUGCUGCAUGGCUGUCGUCAGCUCGUGUCGUGAGAUGUUGCGUUAAGUCGCGCAACGAGCGCAACCCCUGUCCUUAGUUGCCAUCAUUAAGUUGGGCACUCUAAGGAGACAAACCCUCUCUGAGGGUGGGAAGGUGGGGAUGACGUCAAGUCAGGAUGGCCCUUACGGCCAGGGCUGCACACGUGCUACAAUGCCCGAUACAGAGGGAUGCAAUGCCGCGAGGCAAAGCGAAUCUCAAAAAUCGGGCCCAGUUCAGAUUGCAGUCUGCAACUCGACUGCAUGAAGUUGGAAUCGCUAGUAAUGGCGCAUCAGCUACGGCGCCGUGAAUACGUUCCCGGGCCUUGUACACACCGCCCGUCACAUCAUGAAAGCCGGUUUCGCCCGAAGUGCGUUAGCCAACCAGCAAUGGAGGCGGCGCCCUAAGGUGAAGCUGGUGAUUGGGAUGAAGUCGUAACAAGGUAACCGUA